rnacentral:rRNA from 1 species
GGCGGCGUGGAUAAGACAUGCAAGUCGAACGAGAGAAUUGCUAGCUUGCUAAUAAUUCUCUAGUGGCGCACGGGUGAGUAACACGUGAGUAACCUGCCCCCGAGAGCGGGAUAGCCCUGGGAAACUGGGAUUAAUACCGCAUAGUAUCGAAAGAUUAAAGCAGCAAUGCGCUUGGGGAUGGGCUCGCGGCCUAUUAGUUAGUUGGUGAGGUAACGGCUCACCAAGGCGAUGACGGGUAGCCGGUCUGAGAGGAUGUCCGGCCACACUGGAACUGAGACACGGUCCAGGCACCUACGGGUGGCAGCAGUCGAGAAUCAUUCACAAUGGGGGAAACCCUGAUGGUGCGACGCCGCGUGGGGGAAUGAAGGUCUUCGGAUUGUAAACCCCUGUCAUGUGGGAGCAAAUUAAAAAGAUAGUACCACAAGAGGAAGAGACGGCUAACUCUGUGCCAGCAGCCGCGGUAAUACAGAGGUCUCAAGCGUUGUUCGGAAUCACUGGGCGUAAAGCGUGCGUAGGCUGUUUCGUAAGUCGUGUGUGAAAGGCGCGGGCUCAACCCGCGGACGGCACAUGAUACUGCGAGACUAGAGUAAUGGAGGGGGAACCGGAAUUCUCGGUGUAGCAGUGAAAUGCGUAGAUAUCGAGAGGAACACUCGUGGCGAAGGCGGGUUCCUGGACAUUAACUGACGCUGAGGCACGAAGGCCGGGGGAGCGAAAGGGAUUAGAUACCCCUGUAGUCCUGGCAGUAAACGGUGCACGCUUGGUGUGCGGGGAAUCGACCCCCCUGCGUGCCGGAGCUAACGCGUUAAGCGUGCCGCCUGGGGAGUACGGUCGCAAGAUUAAAACUCAAAGAAAUUGACGGGGACCCGCACAAGCGGUGGAGUAUGUGGCUUAAUUCGAUGCAACGCGAAGAACCUUACCUGGGCUUGACAUGUAAUGAACAACAUGUGAAAGCAUGCGACUCUUCGGAGGCGUUACACAGGUGCUGCAUGGCCGUCGUCAGCUCGUGUCGUGAGAUGUUUGGUUAAGUCCAGCAACGAGCGCAACCCCUGUUGCCAGUUACCAGCACGUGAAGGUGGGGACUCUGGCGAGACUGCCCAGAUCAACUGGGAGGAAGGUGGGGACGACGUCAGGUCAGUAUGGCCCUUAUGCCCAGGGCUGCACACGUACUACAAUGCCCAGUACAGAGGGGGCCGAAGCCGCGAGGCGGAGGAAAUCCUGAAAACUGGGCCCAGUUCGGACUGUAGGCUGCAACCCGCCUACACGAAGCCGGAAUCGCUAGUAAUGGCGCAUCAGCUACGGCGCCGUGAAUACGUUCCCGGGUCUUGUACACACCGCCCGUCACGUCAUGGAAGCCGGUCGCACCCGAAGUAUCUGAAGCCAACCGCAAGGAGGCAGGGUCCUAAGGUGAGACUGGUAACUGGGAUGAAGA